CAAAAGGUGAGAAAUGUUCCUUUAAAAUCACAUUGAUGACUAAAUGAUUUGUCAGCAAUGAUGCUGUUCACUUUAUAAACAUGAGAUUUUAUUAUUUACAGAUUCAAACUCCAUCAGGUCUGAUGAACUAAAUCAGAAUAGAGUUCCAGAUGAGAAUGAUGCUGAACACAACACAUAUGGAUCUCUGCUCCAUGGUGAUUUUGAUGUUUAUGAGUCACUCAGAGUCCAUCCAGACACAGAGAAUAAUCCAGAUUAUGCCAACAUAGGUACUGAAGAAGAAUGAAGAAAAACUGGACGAUCUGCUUUUCUAAUCUGAAACUUCAAAAGAGCUCCAACUCGAUUUAGACUUUAUUGAACCCGGAAAAACUCCUCUUAGGGUGUAUUCAGACUGGACACAUUUGGUCCGCUUCCUGGGACCAGGAACCGCUCUGGGACCCAUCUUUCGAGGUGGUCUCGGUUCGUUUCCAAUCAAACUGAACUUCAGGUCACUCUGAGAUUCCUCAGUCUGAAUAUAAUUCACAAUAAAGCACUUUGGUCUUAAAUCAAGGUAGAAAGUGCUAUCUAAGUGUAGCAGGAAGAUUUGGAUGCACCUGCUAUACAGGUGGUGGCAAUUGUCCUGAUUGCCAACAGGAUGUGGGCCAGAUAAUAAAGGCGGAGCUGCUUCUGCACUCUGAAGAGAGGAUCCCUCACUGUGCUGCAGGAUCCUGGUCCAUUCAGUCGGGCACCUUAAACCCUGGUGUACGGAGCUGUAGCUCAAUAGUUCCCUGUAAACUAAGAGAUGGCCAAAUCGAUGCUUUGUGAAGUUCUGACCAACUGAGCUGAGAUUGACACUCUGCUUGAAUCAUUUCAGCAGGAAACAGUGACAUCUGCUGGUUGUUGGGUAUUAAAACAUCCAAGCUCCUGUUCUGUCAUAACCUCAAGACUUCAAGAAGAUUUUAAAACGUACAGAACUCAUGAAACAUAUUAUUGUCAACUUUCAAAAUUAAUUUGACAAUUUGUUCUUUUUUUGCUGUUUGUUCAUUUAAGGCAGCACCAAUUACUGUGGGUGACAAAGCAAAGGAAAAAAAAAGACAGUUACGAUAAAUAACUAAAUAAAUACAUAAAUGAAUUAUGCUUGAUCUAAGGUGUGUAAUUACAAUUUUAUAUGGAUGAUGGUUUGAUAGCUAUUUGAUGUGGCAAAUAUGUUUGAUAGCAAUAAUGUCAUUUUAUGUAUGCUGGUGCUUGUGUAACUUUUUUACUUCCAUAAAAUAAAUGACUUGUGUGCUUUUGUGUUAAAAAAAAUUAUCUAAGAAAAUAAUCUUUUCAACCAUGUUUGGCUUUAAUCUGCUUCUCUUUAAGCUCACCACCUCUCCAGCUUUGGAGAAGACCUGUUUGCAUGGCACAGAUGUUGAAGGCAUGUAGAGAUAUUUUUUGGACAGACGAUAUAGUUGGUGGUAGAAAGUGGACCGUGUGGAGUCUGAGUGGGUCUUAUACUCUGGACAUGUAUCGUUGCACUUCCACUGUUGCAUUCUUCGUACAGUUUUGUGCUUUUUGAUUUGCACCCAUAAGGAAAGACACAAUUCAGCCAUUUUUAUAAAAAAA